UACGUAGGGUGCGAGCGUUGUCCGGAAUUAUUGGGCGUAAAGGGCUCGUAGGCGGUUUGUCGCGUCGGGAGUGAAAUCCACUGGCUUAACUGGUGGCUUGCUUUCGAUACGGGCAGACUGGAGGUAUGCAGGGGAGAACGGAAUUCCUGGUGUAGCGGUGAAAUGCGCAGAUAUCAGGAGGAACACCGGUGGCGAAGGCGGCAUCCUGGACCAACACUGACGCUGAGUGAGCGAAAGCCAGGGGAGCAAACGGGG
rnacentral:rRNA from 1 species